rnacentral:rRNA from 1 species
AUUGAACGCUGGCGGCAUGCCUUACACAUGCAAGUCGAACGGUAACAGGUCUUCGGAUGCUGACGAGUGGCGAACGGGUGAGUAAUACAUCGGAACGUGCCCGAGAGUGGGGGAUAACGAAGCGAAAGCUUUGCUAAUACCGCAUACGAUCUCAGGAUGAAAGCAGGGGACCGCAAGGCCUUGCGCUCACGGAGCGGCCGAUGGCAGAUUAGGUAGGUGGUGGGAUAAAAGCUUACCAAGCCGACGAUCUGUAGCUGGGCUGGGAGGACGACCAGCCACACUGGGACUGAGACACGGCCCAGACUCCUACGGGAGGCAGCAGUGGGGAAUGUUGGACAAUGGGCGCAAGCCUGAUCCAGCCAUGCCGCGUGCAGGAUGAAGGCCUUCGGGUUGUAAACUGCUUUUGUACGGAACGAAAAGACUCUGGUUAAUACCUGGGGUCCAUGACGGUACCGUAAGAAUAAGCACCGGUUAACUACGUGCCAGCAGCCGCGGUAA